CUUCAGGGAGCCCAGCCAGAGCGGGUGGCCUUCCGGGCGGUCCUGCCCGUAGGUGGCGAGCAGGGCCUGGGCCUC
rnacentral:antisense_RNA from 1 species